rnacentral:rRNA from 1 species
GACUCGUGGGAUAAGCGUUGGAAACGACGUCUAAUACCGGAUACGACCUUCGGAGGCAUCCUCCGUGGGGGGACGGAAAAGUAAUUUCGGUCAAGGAUGGACUCGCGGCCUAUCAGCUAGUUGGUGAGGUAAUGGCUCACCAAGGCGACGACGGGUAGCCGGCCUGAGAGGGUGACCGGCCACACUGGGACUGAGACACGGCCCAGACUCCUACGGGAGGCAGCAGUGGGAAUAUUGCACAAUGGGCGCAAGCCUGAUGCAGCAACGCCGCGUGAGGGACGACGGCCUUCGGGUUGUAAACCUCUUUUAGUAGGGAAGAAGCGAAAGUGACGGUACCUGCAGAAAAAGCACCGGCUAACUACGUG